rnacentral:misc_RNA from 1 species
GAGAAAGCUACAAGAACCAGAAUAGUAAGUACUUAAUUGUUAUUUGGUUUUAUUCUGGUUAUUGUUUGAUUUAUAAGAAUAAGAUUUCUAUGUUGCUUAGAGGGAGGGUUUGUUAUGGAUCCUUUCUUACAAAUAAACGACAAACAUAACAUAGAGAUUUCACAUAGCCUAAUUUUGCUGCUUUUCACAAUGCAAAAAUCUAGGACUGUUCCAAAGUGCUUAUAUUUUACAUUUUAACAAAACAAAAGGGGAAUGAAGUAAAGACCUAUGGUUGGUAGAAGGAUUUCAAAGCUUUACGGGAACAGAUUGAUGCUAUGUUGUUUAGAUACAAUGGCUGGAAGUUGAGUGGAACUGUAAGAUGAAACUGAGGCAUGACUUGUUGGCUAGACUGCUGGAAGUUUUGAAGAAAAGAUGGAAACCAUAUAUUUCACACCUAGAAUUACUAGGGCUACAUGAGCACCACCUACUUACAAAAGGUUAAGGAUGCAUGAUGUAGAACCAGGAAGAACAGAAAGCAAUGAGAAACCAAUUCUCAAAAUUAAUAGGAAACAAAUUCUCAACUUUUAUUUCUCUGAGCAAUAGUCAAUAAUCAUAAAAGUCUGUAAAUAAAAUAGAGAAACUAAGCCCUAUGUAUAGAGUUCUGAAAUCCCAAUUGCAUUAGGAUUUUAGAAAGAUUAGCACUACCUUGUAGAAAAUUUUCUUACUUUUCAGAAAUAUUUUGAAGAAAAUAAUAGUUGUUAAAUAACAUGCUUACAUGUUCAAAUAGGUUUCCCAAAUUAAGAUACUCUUUGGAAAGCUGUUUAGUAGUAGAUUUCUUUUGUGAAACAGCCAGUUCAUGAAAAGUUCUUUACUUUCCUUUGAAUCUAUUAAUUACGUGUAUUGAUGGACAUCAAAGUACCAAAUUUUCUGCAGGUAUGAUCUAUGAAUAUGAAUGGCUUUUUUUCCCAGUACAUCUGUCUGCACAUUGUACUUCUUUCCACAUAAUUCAGCUCUUCUCUUUUGUUACAUAAAUAUUAUAACUACCAAUGGUUAUAGCUUUGCAGUUUUCAGUUCACACAAAUCUCAACUGAUCUUUUAUAACCUGUUUUCAACGAGUCCAAUUUUUUCCCAUUUUUCUUGUUUCCUAUUUUAAAUUUUAUAUUGUGAACUACACUUUGUAAAAUGGGAUUUUACUAAUGAUAUCUUCUUAUUUGUGUAAUUCAAUAUUAUGUUUUAUAAUUUUUGUUAUCUAAAUGAUUCCUUUUUUAGAUUAUUUUGUGAGUAUUUUGUUAGAGUCUAUUUUGUAUUAUUGUUGAAACUGCUACUGAGAAAAACACUUUUUAAAAUUUAUAAGUUAGAGAGAAUUAAAAAAAUUGAUUUAAAAUUAAAUUUAACGUUUUAAAUCAAAAGAAUAUUAAAAUAAUAAAACAGUUCUUUCCAAACUACUUUUUCAACAGCAUCUAAAAUUGUACUUUUCGAAAAAGCAUUUUUUGGCACCUGAAUCUCAAUGGUACUAUUUUCUUCCAAGAAUGAUUAACUUCAGAAUUUUGAUAGGCUUUGAAGCACAUCAUGAUCACACCACCAACCUAGAAGAAAAGGAUAAUUAUUUUUUAUCAAAAAAUCUUCAUCAAUACCAAAGUAAAAACUUUGUUUCCAGAUUUGCUGGCAGAACCCAUAAACCCUUCUUUUUUUACAUGAAUGAGCUUUCUUACCUCCAUCCCCCAACUUUCCCCCUAAAGGAGAAAACAAGCAACAAAGCAUUAUUUCUCUAUCCCAAGUGGUUUCCAUUUCACUUUAAACAAAUAGAGAAUAAAUAGUUUAUUAAUUCCAAUGGCAGAAUUCAAGAUAAGUAAGGUUGGACCAUAACCUCAAAUUCACAAGCAUCCAUGUGGGUUACAUGGCCAAAUUUCAGCAUAAAACUGAAAAAUUACUACAAUUCAGAUAUACAAGUUUCAAAUCUAUCGUUUCCAUUAGACCUAUCUGAAAACAAAAGCAAAUAUUAUAUUGAAUCUUCAGCUGACUACCAAGUAAAAGAUAAAACAGAAGCAGAAAGGAAUGCACAGGUAUUAUGUACGAGGUGUUUGUUUGUGCCACCACCAAAAACAGAAAAAUAGAAAACCAUAUAAGAGAUGACGAUGUGGUAGCACAUAAAAACAGGGAAAUACUAAAACAUAAGUACAUAAUAAUAGUAGUGCCCCUUGUAAACCACGAGCAAAAUCAAUCAUACCCAAUAGCCUCUCAAACUGUGUCUCACCAUCAAAUUGCAUCUCUAAGGUGAAAAUUUUGGAGUUCUUUACAGACAAUAUGUACUAUUAUGCUUUAAAAUUUUUAUGUCAAAACAUGUCGAGAUUUAUCUUUUUUUAAAAAACAAGCAUUGGUUCAUGUUUUAAGUUACAAAUAUACUGCCUUAAGCAUUUUUUAUGCAGUGUGCAUUGCAAAUAUCCUCUCCAAAUCAUGUCUCACUAUCAUAAUUUGGUUUGCCAAUUUUUUUUUUACUUUUUUUGGUUUCUUUUUUAUUGCCAUUUUAAAAUUGAUCUUGAAUGACAGCACUCUUAAGAUCCCACAAACAAUUCAAUAGUCCAAACACUCAAGGACAUUUAGGGUGCAACAGCAUCUUCUAAAUUUGUAUAUCCAUUUUAUGCCAAAAAAAGUUAAUAGACUCAUAGAAUGCAUGCAUAGAUAGAUGUAUUUACUUUUUUUUUUUUUGAAAGUUGUGACCUACAUAAAUAGUUCAAAAACCUUCUGCCAAUAUGUGAAUCUCACUCCCUACAAAGUUGCCUCUACUUCACAAAUUUAGUUUCAAGAGGAAAUUUCUUAAACCUUUAUCUCAAAAUGUUUCAAGUCAAAUCAAACUGCAGAGAUGCAAAUGUGUGAGAAUAGAUGUUAUAUUUCAUAAUAUUUGCUGUACCUAAGUACCUUAUUUUUAUAGUGUUUUUAGUAUUAAUUUUAGUAGUUUUUAUUAUUUUUUCCUAGUUAUUUUGUUAAUUUCUUAAUUUUAUUGUUUUUAGAGAGCUUUGGUGUUUUUGUGCCUGUUUUCAGAAAAAUUAUCAAUUUGGAGCAAGAAUUUGGAGAAUUCAUCAAUUGAGUUUGAAAAGUAGCAAUUUUGCAGUGAAUCUCACACCCAAGCCAAGGGAUUCAGCAGAAUUUCACUCCCUGGCCAUGAGGCUUACUGCUUGCGAAGAGAAUAAAAAAAAAUUUGGUUUUGAGCAACUUAAUUCGGCCAUGGCAGUGAAACUCACGGCCAGGCCUUGGGAAUGGGUCAAGGCGGUCUUGUGUGGUGUUUUAGAGGGGUAUUCUUCCUAUUUUGCUCUGGUCUCCUAUUCAGAUAUGGAAUUGGAGAUUCCAGCUGACCCUAGCCAUACAAAAGCCGAUAUUUUCAUCUGUUGAGGACUUAUGGCUGCUGAAAACUCGAGGAAGACUAAUCUGAGCUGGGAUUCAAGCAAGGAGAAUUUAAGACCUAGAGAUUGAAGAGAAGAACCACCUUCUCCACAAUUAUUCUAGAGUUUUUAUUUCUCUCCCUUGUUCUAUUUUGAAUUUAUUUUCUAGAACUCAUUGUGAGGAUGAUUAAGGAUUUUUAUUUAAGUGAACUUGUGUUUGAUUUUGUUAUUAUGAGGAACUAAAUUCUUAGGGUACCUGAUGUAGUGUGGAUUUAAAUUCAAUUCUAGAAAUUUUGUAUUAGUUUUCUUUAUUAAUGGAAUUGUCUAUUAUUUGGGUUUAACACUUUUGGGCAUUUUAUUUAUCCUUAAUUGAUUUCAAUUCAUAAUUGGUACCAGGAACGAAUUGAGAAUCCUAAUAAACACAUGAAUAAUAAUUGGAGUGGGAAUAAUCACUAUACUUAGUGAAUUAAUUGGUAUUUAUUUUUCCAUUGGAAGAUAGGUAAUAGAUUUCAAUUAAUAUUUUUAUUAAGUCUCAAGACGGAUUUAUUAAAUAAUUUAGGAUCAUUGAUCCUUGCAUUAGUAAUCAAAUUUGGAUUAUUAAACAAAUUGGAAUUGAUAAUUAGACCAAGAGAAAUCAAGGAUACCUAGUCCUUUAUCAACUGAAUUUUUAACCAGCUUUUAUUGUGUUCUUUAGAGUUAAUUUUAAUUUUAGAUUUUAGUUAAAUUUAUUGUCCAUUCCCAUUUAAUUUCGACUGUUUAGAUAUUAGUAAGGUUAGUGCAUAUUUUUGGUAUUUAAUUGCAUUCCUCAUGGGAAUUAUAUCUAAUUGAUCACUGUAUUACUCAAGCGAUUUUGUAUGCUUGCAAAAAAGCCUAUCAAUAUUAUCAAUGACACAAACAUCAAACGGGAAUCAGUUUGAUCAUCCAUCAAAGUAUAUUACUCCUCCAAUAUCUACUUCACUCUAAAAUUAAAGUAAAAUCAAACAUGCAAAAGAAAGGAGGGAAAAGGGGGAAAUUCACAUCAGUGCACCAAUCAAGCCGAAGAAACUGACCUACUUGGAAACCAUGAGACAGAAGAGGUCAUACAUAAAUUAAGGAAAAGAUGAGGUUAAAUAUCAAAGCCCUGAAAAAAUAACUACUAGCUAUCAUAACAAAGGGAGAGAGGAGGAAGAGCCAUAUGGUCCCAGCAUCGUCCAAAAAGGGCAAACAUGAGUACGGGGGAGCUGUGAUCAUGAACAAUGUGUCUUCCAAGAUAUAUCUUGUUGACUACUAAUAAAAAUUUAAAAUCUUCAAACAGGACAACCACUUUUGUCUCUCUUAGCAAGGAGUGAAAAAAUGCUAUGAAGAAAAAAGCCCCAUUUUGAAAAUUAAAAUGAUAUAUGGAAAUGGAACCGUCUAAGGCCCCAGUAAAAAUUAUGAUUGUUCUCCUAAUUAAGUUAACUUUGCUAUAUUUUGUAAAUUCAAGAAGUUUUGAGUCCUAAACACUAUCAUGUGCACCCUUCCAAAUUCCUUUUUGAAAAAACAAAAUUACAGUUCAAGCAAGUUUAUUAAUUAUCAGGUAAUUUGCAAUAAGAACAAUAUUGGACAGGUUAAAGAAAAUGUCAAGAAUGGAGGAAAUACAUCUUUUUACCUCUCCUUGUUCCAGUUUCAUAAUCAUCAGCAUUAA